GAAUCUUAGACAAUGGGGGAAACCCUGAUCUAGCCAUGCCGCGUGAGUGAAGAAGGCCUUAGGGUCGUAAAGCUCUUUCAACGGGGAAGAUAAUGACGGUACCCGUAGAAGAAGCCCCGGCUAACUCCGUGCCAGCAGCCACGGUAAUACGGAGGGGGCUAGCGUUGUUCGGAAUUACUGGGCGUAAAGCGCGCGUAGGCGGACUAUUAAGUCAGGGGUGAAAUCCCGGGGCUCAACCCCGGAACUGCCUUUGAUACUGGUAGUCUUGAGUUCGAGAGAGGUGAGUGGAAUUCCGAGUGUAGAGGUGAAAUUCGUAGAUAUUCGGAGGAACACCAGUGGCGAAGGCGGCUCACUGGCUCGAUACUGACGCUGAGGUGCGAAAGUGUGGGGAGCAAACAGG
rnacentral:rRNA from 1 species